UGGGCAACCUGCCCUCAGCUCUGGGAUAACUCCAAGAAAUUGGGGCUAAUACCGGAUAUGACCGCUGACCGCAUGGUCUGGUGGUGGAAAGAUUUAUCGGCUGGGGAUGGGCCCGCGGCCUAUCAGCUUGUUGGUGGGGUAACGGCCCACCAAGGUGUCGACGGGUAGCUGGUCUGAGAGGAUGAUCAGCCACACUGGGACUGAGACACGGCCCAGACUCCUACGGGA
rnacentral:rRNA from 1 species